UACGUAGGGUGCAAGCGUUAAUCGGAAUUACUGGGCGUAAAGCGUGCGCAGGCGGUUAUGCAAGACAGAUGUGAAAUCCCCGGGCUCAACCUGGGAACUGCAUUUGUGACUGCACGGCUGGAGUGCGGCAGAGGGGGAUGGAAUUCCGCGUGUAGCAGUGAAAUGCGUAGAUAUGCGGAGGAACACCGAUGGCGAAGGCAAUCCCCUGGGCCUGCACUGACGCUCAUGCACGAAAGCGUGGGGAGCAAACAGG
rnacentral:rRNA from 1 species